AGAGUUUGAUCCUGGCUCAGGAUGAACGCUAGCGACAGGCUUAACACAUGCAAGUCGAGGGGCAGCGGGGAGUGAGGCUUGCCUUACUCUGCCGGCGACCGGCGCACGGGUGAGUAACACGUAUGCAACCUACCCUUUACAGCGGGAUAACCGGAAGAAAUUUCGCCUAAUACCGCAUAUACUCCUUGGGAGGCAUCUUCCGAGGGGGAAAGAAUUUCGGUGAAGGAUGGGCAUGCGUCGCAUUAGUUAGUUGGCGGUGUAACGGACCACCAAGACGACGAUGCGUAGGGGUUCUGAGAGGAAGGUCCCCCACACUGGUACUGAGACACGGACCAGACUCCUACGGGAGGCAGCAGUGAGGAAUAUUGGUCAAUGGGCGGAAGCCUGAACCAGCCAAGUCGCGUGAGGGAAGACGGUCCUAUGGAUUGUAAACCUCUUUUGCAGGGGAGCAAGGCGCGGUACGUGUACCGCGAAGGAGAGUACCCUGAGAAAAAGCAUCGGCUAACUCCGUGCCAGCAGCCGCGGUAAUACGGAGGAUGCGAGCGUUAUCCGGAUUUAUUGGGUUUAAAGGGUGCGCAGGCGGACUGUUAAGUCAGCGGUAAAAUGUCGGUGCUCAACACCGGCCGGCCGUUGAAACUGGCAGCCUUGAGUGAGCGAGAAGUAUGCGGAAUGCGUGGUGUAGCGGUGAAAUGCAUAGAUAUCACGCAGAACUCCGAUUGCGAAGGCAGCAUACCGGCGCUCAACUGACGCUCAGGCACGAAAGCGUGGGUAUCGAACAGGCUUAGAUACCCUGGUAGUCCACGCAGUAAACGAUGAAUGCUCACUGUCCGGGCCGUUUAAGGCCUGGGUGGUCAAGCGAAAGCGUUAAGCAUUCCACCUGGGGAGUACGCCGGCAACGGUGAAACUCAAAGGAAUUGACGGGGGCCCGCACAAGCGGAGGAACAUGUGGUUUAAUUCGAUGAUACGCGAGGAACCUUACCCGGGCUCAAACGGAAGGGGACAGUAUGAGAAAUCAUACAUUCCUUCGGGACCGCUUCCGAGGUGCUGCAUGGUUGUCGUCAGCUCGUGCCGUGAGGUGUCGGCUUAAGUGCCAUAACGAGCGCAACCCCUAUCGACAGUUGCUAGCAGGUAAAGCUGAGGACUCUGUCGAGACUGCCGGCGCAAGCUGUGAGGAAGGCGGGGAUGACGUCAAAUCAGCACGGCCCUUACGUCCGGGGCGACACACGUGUUACAAUGGCAGGUACAGCGGGAAGCCACCCGGCGACGGGGCGCAGAACCCGAAAACCUGUCUCAGUUCGGAUUGGAGUCUGCAACCCGACUCCAUGAAGCUGGAUUCGCUAGUAAUCGCGCAUCAGCCACGGCGCGGUGAAUACGUUCCCGGGCCUUGCACUCACCGCCCGUCAAG
rnacentral:rRNA from 1 species